GGCCUGAUGGCCUAGUGGUUAGAGCUCUGCUUGACAGUGCAGUCUGGAGACCCUGGGUUCAAUUCCUGAUGGUGCCA